rnacentral:snRNA from 1 species
GGAGAUGUGAGAGUGAUCUCGCUAUGACAUCUGUCACCCCAUUGAUCGCCACGUUGAUUCGGCUGAUCUGGCUGGCUAGGCGGGUGUCCCUUUCCUCUCUCACCGCUUCCAGGUCUGUCCCUCCCAAAGCUGCACACUUGGUCAAAGAGGACGACCUUCCCCAAAUAGAGGAGGACCAGUUUUCGGUCAAGGGUGUGUGAGUAGCUUUGCUUCCCUGCUAGAACCUCCAAACAAGCUCUCAAAGAGACAUUAUGUCCACCAGAGCUCACAGGAGAACACAAGCUUUCGCAGCGUUCCUCUGUGGCUCACCCACGCAUCCCCCAGUGAUGAGCAAGCGCAGGGUGACUGCCCUGC